GUGGAAUUCCCUAGAAUUGCGGGCUUUGCCUGCUAUCUCUUACCCAUGUCUUUUGAGUACUUACGUUUCCUCGGUGGGUUCGCCCGCCGAUUGGACAAUUUAAACCCUUUGCAGUUGCAAUCAGCGUCUGAAAAAAAUUAAUAAUUACAACUUUCAACAACGGAUCUCUUGGUUCUGGCAUCGAUGAAGAACGCAGCGAAAUGCGAUAAGUAGUGUGAAUUGCAGAAUUCAGUGAAUCAUCGAAUCUUUGAACGCACAUUGCGCCCCUUGGUAUUCCAUGGGGCAUGCCUGUUCGAGCGUCAUUUGUACCUUCAAGCUUUGCUUGGUGUUGGGUGUUUGUCUCGCCUUUGCGUGUAGACUCGCCUCAAAACAAUUGGCAGCCGGCGUAUUGAUUUCGGAGCGCAGUACAUCUCGCGCUUUGCACUCAUAACGACGACGUCCAAAAGUACAUUUUUACACUCUUGACCUCGGAUCAGGUAGGGAUACCCGCUGAACUUAAGCAUAUCAAUAAGCGGAGGAAGGAUCAU
rnacentral:rRNA from 2 species